CACACACACACACACACACACACACAGACAGAAGUAAUACAUAUCCAAGCAUAUUGUGUGAUUUCAUACUCCAAUCAGAGUACAACUCCUACUAGUAACAGUAUUCCUCUACUCCAAAGGAUCUUCAACCACACUCAUGCAUGCUCAUACUCA